rnacentral:rRNA from 1 species
AUUGAGCGCUGGCGGCAUGCCUUACACAUGCAAGUCGAACGGCAGCACGGGUGCUUGCACCUGGUGGCGAGUGGCGAACGGGUGAGUAAUACAUCGGAACGUACCUUAUCGUGGGGGAUAACGCAGCGAAAGCUGUGCUAAUACCGCAUACGCCCUGAGGGGGAAAGCGGGGGAUCGCAAGACCUCGCGCGAUUAGAGCGGCCGAUGCCUGAUUAGCUAGUUGGUGGGGUAAAAGCCCACCAAGGCGACGAUCGGUAGCUGGUCUGAGAGGACGAUCAGCCACACUGGGACUGAGACACGGCCCAGACUCCUACGGGAGGCAGCAGUGGGGAAUUUUGGGCAAUGGGGGCAACCCUGAUCCAGCAAUGCCGCGUGAGUGAAGAAGGCCUUCGGGUUGUAAAGCUCUUUUGUCAGGGAAGAAACACCGGCUCUAACACAGUCCGGGAAUGACGGUACCUGAAGAAUAAGCACCGGCUAACUACGUGCCAGCCGCCGCCGUAA